AGCGAACGCUGGCGGCAGGCUUAACACAUGCAAGUCGAACAGUAAGGCCCUUCGGGGUACACGAGUGGCGAACGGGCGAGUAACACGUGGGUGAUCUGCCCUGCACUUCGGGAUAAGCCUGGGAAACUGGGUCUAAUACCGGAUAGGACUCCGGACUGCAUGGUCUGGGGUGGAAAGCCUUUGCGGUGUGGGAUGGGCCCGCGGCCUAUCAGCUUGUUGGUGGGGUGAUGGCCUACCAAGGCGACGACGGGUAGCCGGCCUGAGAGGGUGACCGGCCACACUGGGACUGAGAUACGGCCCAGACUCCUACGGGAGGCAGCAGUGGGGAAUAUUGCACAAUGGGCGCAAGCCUGAUGCAGCGACGCCGCGUGAGGGAUGACGGCCUUCGGGUUGUAAACCUCUUUCAGCAUCGACGAAGCGAAAGUGACGGUAGGUGCAGAAGAAGGACCGGCCAACUACGUGCCAGCCGCCGCUGUAA
rnacentral:rRNA from 1 species